UACGUAGGGGGCAAGCGUUGUCCGGAAUUAUUGGGCGUAAAGCGCGCGCAGGCGGUUAUGUAAGUCUGGUGUUUAAACCCAAGGCUCAACCUUGGGUCGCAUUGGAAACUGCAUGGCUUGAGUGCAGAAGAGGAGAGUGGAAUUCCACGUGUAGCGGUGAAAUGCGUAGAUAUGUGGAGGAACACCAGUGGCGAAGGCGACUCUCUGGGCUGUAACUGACGCUGAGGCACGAAAGCGUGGGUAGCAAACAGG
rnacentral:rRNA from 1 species